rnacentral:tRNA from 1 species
CGCUAGGAAGCUAUGUCGUGAAACCAGCGUUAGCCUUUUAAGCUAAAGAUAGGUGGCUCUCAACCACCCCUACCGA